UGAUGGUAGCGCGCUGCGCGGCCUCGACU
rnacentral:sRNA from 1 species